rnacentral:rRNA from 1 species
UAGGCAGGGUGUGUAAGUGAUGUGAGUCAUUGAGCUAACCUGUACUAAUUGCCCGAGAGGCUUAACUAUACAACGCUCAAG